rnacentral:sRNA from 1 species
GUCCGCUACGCCACUUACGCUCUUGCAGGUGAACGAAUAUCUGCAAGAGAUGGGUGCAGAGGUAAAAGAAACAGAGUGGCGCUUAGGGGACGUUGUGGUCCCGCAGUUGCAGGUAACCAGCCCCGUCAUGUUCCUUGUGCAGUUGGAAGACGAAGAGUGGGUGAUUGAAGAAGCAGAGGAAUUUUCACAUCUUGCGCCUUUGGAGGUAAGAGCCAAGCUUUCCAUCUGCGAUGCACGUUUAGCAUUCGGGGACGCUGACGACGAGUCGGCGACAACUACCGAUCAGGGGAUAUUCGUAUUGGCGGGAUGGACAGGGUUUGAUCCAGCAAAUCCACAAGUCAGGAUACUGCUAGAAGGCCUCGCCCGCAUAGUCGACGGGAUUGUCAACGACAAGACCAGCGGGACUUACUGGGUCCCGUCCUGACCGAC